CUUCAUUCUUUGCUGUGCCAUCUCCAGGCUUGUGCAGCCGAUGAACCUAGAUCAGGCCCAUUGCCAGUACCUGGACAGGCUUAGGAGCCAGCAGAUCCUUGGCUGGACCAGGUCCGCCCCCUCUCCACUUCCAUGAUUUUGGAGGUUUACACUGGUGACCUGAUGGCAGCGCUCUACCUUCACACCUCUUCCUCUGUGGAAAUUGGACCCCAAUUUCUUUUCUUGUCUAUACAAUCAGGGCAGUUGCACAUUUAACUUUGAGGAAUGACCGGGCAGCUGCUCUGCUCAGAUGCUCAAGAUCAUUCCACAGUGCCUCCAUAUGAUGAGAUGCUUUGAAAAUGGGAGAUAAUGGGCUUCGGAUGGAAAUGGAUGGGUACUUCCAACCAGGUAGACUUUGACUCAUUUGUCUGAAAGUCCGUGUUAAUUAUGCAUGCAUGGGAUGUGUCUUCCUGGGCUGAGAUGCAUUUGUAAGGCAGCCAGCAGUGAUGGAUGAAAUGCAAGAACAAGAUCUAAACAACCCCAUUAGAUUGCUUCUAUCAGAUCGUUUCUGCUCUGGGGUGUUUGGAAUGUGGGCUCUGGCUCAAAACUUCUGCUAGCAGUCCAAGCAUAUGCAGCUCAUAGAUAACUUUUAGGAAAUAUUGUUAUAUACCAACAGGUAAUAAAGAAGGGAGAAAGGAACAUCUUGAGUCAAUCAGACAUAGCUGCCCCCCCAUAUCCAACAUGUGCCAGCAUCUUCAUGUGUGUGCAGUCUAAAAAUAUGCAACUGUAUGUUCAUAGUUUUUCCUCUCUGCUAGUGGGGAGAAAGCACUAAUUGUUUACAGUCAUAGACUCAUAGAAUUGUAGAUUUGGAAGGGGCUACAAGGGUUAUCGAGUCCAACCCCCUGCAAUGCAGGAAUGUUUUUGCCCAAUGUGGGGCUCAAACCCAUCACCCUGAGAUUAAGAGUCUCAUGCUCUACCGACUGAGCUAUAUAGGCUCUAUCUCAGGACAGGGGAACCUUUGGGCCUCCAAAUGCUAUUGGACUUCAGCUCCAUUCAUCCCUGACCAUUGGCCAUACUGGCUGAGGCUACUGCUGUGCUGAAAUCUAUCCUAUCAUUUUCUCAAAAGGUUCCCUCUACUCCAGGAAAAGGGCUUCCAUUAUCCUGCCUCAUUCUCAGGACAAUUGAGGAUUUCUUUAAAUUUCCAAUGGAUUCAGGCUUUCACUUACUUUAUCAUUCACAAGGAAAAAGCUGGUGGUGUUUUUUUUCCUUUCCAGCAAACAUUUCCCCAGUCUCACUGAAGCUCCACAGAUUGUUGGAAGUGCCACAGCAGAGAUCAUUCAGUCUGCAACUUAAGGGUUAUUUUUGUUAAUGUUAAAAACUAGCCCAUAGGGGCAGAAGUGCUGCUGAGCAACCAAGCAGAGUGGAAUGACUUUCACUGAGGCACCAUAUUAUAAAUACACAACCAACCAGCCAACCAACCAAUAAAAUAAUAAGCAAAUUUGAAGAACCCUCUUACAGUAUGUAGAGAGAUUUAGUAAUUUGUUUAAUGACAGAAUUUUAGAUGAUUUUAGUCACUUUUAAAUAAGGAGCGUGGGGUGUUUUUUUAAAAUGCUACAUUGUAGUGUUCUGUUGCUUCCUUGUAAAACAAAAUGAAUAAAGUUAAGAAAUCUGACAAGUAUAACCCAAUCCAAAUAAAGCAUGGCUAGCUAAUGGGUCAUAUUUGUCCACAAAAUGAUUUGUCCUGCUCCCUGGGAGGUGUUUCAUAGCACCAUUUUCAUUCCAUGAUUAUAAGCUGUUUCCUCCUCCAUCAACAAGGGUGGCCAAUAUGGUGCCCUUCGUUGUUGAACUCUUACUGCCAUCAGCCCCAGCCAGCAUGGCAAAUGCUCAGGGAUUAUGGGAGUUGCACCCCAACAACAUAUGGAUGGUCACAUGUUGGCAACCAUUGUUCUGCAGCAAUAACCUCUUUCGUGAGUCCUUAAUGGAAUGAUUCCAACCUUCUAGGGUACCACUCCUGCCAUCUCUUUCUGGGAGCAUGAAUGAAGAAGCCAUAAGAAGCUGGAUACUAAAUUACGUUUUCUUCCAGGCUUGGGAAGUCAGCUCUCUCAGAGCCAAGCCAUUCAUAAAAACAGUCAACAUCAAUGGACCUGCCAGAAGAUAGUUAAGAGGGGAUGCUAUGAAAAAUGGUUGUUCAACUGGACAGGUCUGAUGGACGAUUAGGGCAAAAAAGAGGAAAUACAUGAUAUAAAAGAGGGCAAAAAUGGACACAGUUUUGCAUGCCUUCUACAUGUGCCAAUUUAUAUAGAUGGGUGCAAUUUCUGAAAUAAUUCCUGUAAUUUAAAUAGGAAUAAAAUGGCGUAGACCGGAAGACUGACCUGGUGAUCUGAGUGCCUCCUCAUUCUGCUGUUCAUGGGCAUCUUCUGGUCUCCCUUAACCUAUCUUUAAACUGAACCUGGGCUAGGAAGCCUUUUACGCAGGACACCAUCCUCAAACAGUCCUCAAAAUAGAUGAUGGCCUCUGUAAAGUAGAACACAUGACGGCCCUCCUACUGGGAAUGUCAGGGUACACCAUGUCAUUCAGAUCAUUCCUUUAGAAAAACCAUUAGCCUCUGCUAAGCAAAUCCCUUUUGAACCCCAUUUUACUUUAAAGUUGCCAGUCUGAUUAACCAUGGUCUUUGACAGUUGCUUGGAUGUUAUACCUUGGAAUCCGUUUCCCCCGCACUUGUCACAAACAUUUCAGUUAACAUUUCUCAAGGAAGUGGUCUGGAUUUAUCAUAGUAGGCAGACAUUCCUAAUUUGUUUUUCAGUGGGAUGUCGGCAGCUAAUUCCUGUCUGAUGUAUUACCUGGCUAUCUGAACAAGGAAAAGGAAAUGGGUAAGAUUUGCACAUUUUCUGUUCCUCUUAAUUGCACUGUGAAAGCAAUCUAUCCAUAUAUAUUUACCACCAAUUAUUCAAGAACAUUAAUGUGAUUUACAGCCAACUAAAAUACAAGUUUAUUAAAAUCAGUAUGUUAAAAAACUAUAAUAAAUGCAUAUUAAUAAAAACAACCAUGACUCUUAGCAUCCUGAAAAAACUACAGUUCCCAGGAUUCUUUGGGAGAAGCCAUGACCUUUUAAAGUGUUAUGAUGCUCCUUUAAAUGUAUAGUGAAAAUGGGUACUUAUUAUUUUAUGCCGGAGGACCUUUGGCUGUCCAGAUAUCACUGAAGUAUAAUUCUCAUCAGCCCUAGCAACUAUAGCCAACGACUGAGGCAAAAUAGUAGUUUGAUUUCUGGUCCAAGAGCACCUGGAGGGCCAAAGCUUCCCCACUCUUGCUUUAACACAAAAGAGAUGGCAACGUGUUAUCAGACAGCAAAGCUUCUAUUGGCAAGGAGUUCCACAGGGCAGAGCAUGCCACACUGAAAGCUUGGCCCUAGUAAAGGCCAGCUGAACUACAGAGUCAAGUGAGACUACCAAAAGUGCCCCACCAGAAGACCUUAGCAAUCAAGGCAGGACAUAAGGAAUCAAGCAGUCCUUAAGGAACCAAGUUGUUUAACACAAGAGUAAAUUAGUAGCCAGUGCUAAGUGCUUCUAGAUGCCCCUUCUGCAUGCCACCUCCAAACAUUUCAGUAUCAAUGUGUGUGGUAUUCAACUGUAGUCCUACUCAGAGGAGACUAAGUGAAGCUAAUGCACAUUACAGUCAUACCUCGGGUUACAGACACUUCGGGUUGCGUUUUUUCGGGUUACAAACCUGCCGAAACCCGGAAGUACCGGAACGGGUUACUUCCAGGUUUCGGCAGUUGCGCAUGUGCAGAAGCGCUAAAUCAUGCUUUGUGCAUGCGCAGAAGUACCGAAUCGCAACCCGUGUGUGUGCAGAUGCGCCGCUGCGGGUUGCGAACAUGCAUCCCGCACGGAUGACGUUCGCAACCCGAGUGUCCACUGUAUUAGAUUAGGUUCACUGAUUGCAGUGGGUCUCCUCUGAGUAGAACUUGAAUAAAACCUACUUGGCUUAUACUGGGGGAAAACUGUAUGUGUUUCAAUGAAGACAACAACCUUCUACGGCAAAGUGCUGCAGCAAUGAGGGGCUUGUCCCCAGGCCUUGCACAAUGUCCUUUUGUGCUCUUUCCCAGAAUAAAUCUAACUACUUUUUGUGUUAAACUCAGUGCUUUUCUUCUAGAAAAAAAAGGUGCUGGUACUGCAUACCCGUGAGUACCCCCGGGGGGGAAAGCACUAGUUAAACUGUAUGUUCUAAGUGUGUGUGUGUGUGUGUUUUAUAAAAGAAAGAGAAUUGUUUCCUUUAACAGCAACAGAAAGCCUCCUCUCCGUCUGAUAUUAACGUUUGAUGGCGGCUUAAGAUCACACAAUAAAAGUCAGGGUGGGCUCCAUCAGAAAAAGUUGCGUUUCUCAGAACAUUUGCUAUUGAUAUGUUGGGAAAGUGGCAGACUUGGUGGGGUGGGGCGGGGUGGGGGCUGCUGGGGAGAGCUUGCAUGAUCCAUUAAUAAGAAACAGUUUGGCACACUAGAUUACUAAAGCAUGGCUAAUCUCUCAGCCAAAACCCACGCAUUCUUCAUUUGUGUUUCCCAGCCUUUUUUGAGCUUGUGUGUGUGUGUGUGUGUGUGUGUGUGUGUGUGUACACACACACAUACAAUACAGAGGAACUGGCUAAUUAAAUCUUGGAAAGUAAAUUCAGGUUUCUUUAGGCAUUUCUGAAAGGGAAUUAAAAACACAGUGGAUUGGAUUCAUAGAGGAUGUGCUUUCAAACAGCAGCGCAGAAAGAGGAAGACAAUUGCUGUCUUUGUUACAAGAGUGCAUGUUUGUAGAAAAGUGAGGAGGUGUUCUGAAAUAUGAUGAAUAUAUGGAUAUAUACUCUGGAAACAAUCGAGGACAUUUUUGUGUUUCAACAAGCUUUUCCAGCUGGAUGAAAAGGUCUCUGCCUUAGAUGUUCAUUUUGUAUUGUUUUAAAACCUGUCUUCAGAUAUAUAUAUAUAGAGAGAGAGAGAGAGAGAGAGAGAGAGAGAGAGGGAGAGAGGGGAGAGAGAGAGAGUUAUAGAUGGGGGAACCUCCAUAAAUCCUAGAAAUUAGUAAAUGGUAGGAUUUUGAUUAUUUGGAGUAUUGAAGGGAAGAUUGGAGGCCAGUGGAAAAAUACAAGCUGAGCUUCUUUCCAAGCAAGUGCCCCACCUGGGAUAAAGGCAGUGCUAUUUUUAUAGAAAAAGUGGUGCUGGAACUUACCACCCUCAUUCUCUUAGAAUUGCAAUAGCACCCACCUGAGAGGUGCCAGAACUGAGUUCUGGCAAGUUCUGGCUUUUUAAAAGUCCUGGAUAGAGACAUUAACAUGACAAAAGGUGUUGACGCCCCAUCUAAGAGGAAUCUUGGGCCUGGGCAGACAGAAGUUGCCAUGGUGAUGGGGCAUGUGGGAAAAGAGAGUCUUUAGAGCAAGGUGUGUUCGGAAGGAAAGGAAAGGGGGAGAACAGAAGGAAGGGAUCCAUCUUGGGCAGACCGGCUGAAGGCUGGCUGGGAGAGAUGCCUUGCAUUCCAGUGCAGAACGGCUGUGGAGAACAAGUCCCUCUCGAAAUGACCAUGCUGUAAGAUCUGGACUCCCUCCAUGCAGACUGAAGGUACAAAUAUGUGAAUAAAUCCUAUUUCUUAAAGUUAUGACAGCCUUCACACCACACCUUCAAUUCUCCAAAGGUGCACAAACUCUAGGUAUUCACCUGGAACCCCGUGAAACCUUGCUAUCGCUUGGCAGAGAGUGGCGUGGCACCCAACUUCUAUAUUUGUAAAUCGUUUUGAUGCAUGUAUACAAGGUGAUCCAUAAAUGUAUAGUUAUUGCUUAUAAUAUUGAUGAUAAUAAUUUGCUGAGUUGCUGCUCACACUCCUUUCUUUGUUCACUGACCUCAGUUUCUUUCAUAUCAGAAGAGGUGUUUGUUGGCAGUUGGAACUGAAGCUAUCAGAACCAACCAUCAUAAUGAAUCAGCAUUUUCCAGGGAUGACAGGCAAAAACUGACCAAAUCUCUGGGUUUGGGCUGGAGACCAUUUUUUUAUGACAGUUCUCCUGCCUAGAAUUUGUGUUUUCAACAUACUGUGGUGUUGGGUGGAAACAGAGAGCUAAUAAGCAUUUGCUUUGCUUGGUUUAGGGGCAAUUGCCAUAGUGUAGAGGGAAAUUGGUGGGUUGGCGGAGCAGAAAGCAUAUUUCCUCAUUUGUAUUUCAUAAUGUUGGCAUAUAUCAAGGUAUGAUACCUUACUUACAGGCUUCCCUUCCCCCGGUCUUCCACUGAAAUGAAUUACUGGAUGUCUUUAUUUGCCAUAAGAAGUUAGACUUCCAUGAAACAACUUUAACAUGAUUUACAGAAGCAUAGCUAUGUUAGUCUAUUAUAGCAAAAACAAUAGAGUCCUUUGGCAUCUUAAAGACUAACAUAUUCAUUGAGGCAUAAGAGUUUGUGGACUAAAGCCCACUUGGUUGAAUCGGAGGCCAUGGGACUCUUGGUUGUUGUUUUCUCUUUUAAAAGUUGACAUUGAAAACUUCUCUUGUUCUUUUUGGGGCUUCUGGGUUUUAGAGAUGUAAGUGUUCAACUUAAGCCUUCCAUCCUGGGGCCUUGCAAAGGUUUUGGACUCCAGAUCCCAUCACCACCAGCCAUCACGGUCAAUGGUCAGGGAUCAUGGGAGUUGUAGUUCAAAACAUCUGGACAGUAUCUACCAGGUUGGGGAACGUUGGUUUAACUGGUUGGGAAGCAUUGUGAAAAUCACAUCAGGUGUAUAUUGCAAGGGUAUUGCUUUGCAGUUUCUUUGCUGUUAGCCUUUGCAUUUCCCAAAAUCCAUAAUGGUUUGUUUGGUGCCUGCGGCAGAAGUCAAGCUUACCGAUAUGAAGUUGCAGAGUAUCAAGUGAAUAUUCUCUGCCAAGUGCAAGCUCAGUUAUCCAAGGUAGCAGGGUUUUAUUAUUUAUUUAUCUAUUGCAUUCACAUUCCACCCCACCCCCAAGUUGCUCAAGGUAGCAUAUGUAGUUGUCUCCCACCAUUUUUAUCCUCACAACAACCUACACAGGGAUCCUAAAGAAAGAAGAUGGAUGUGUGGGAGGAAUAGUACCAUCGGAGCAAAGAAUGUGGGAAAAUAAAGGGAAGGCAGCUUGUGCAAGCCUCGGAUACCACUCAUAAUAUUUAAUAUUUCAUUUUGGUGACGAGUUUAGUUAACUCCUCUUAAAUUAUCAUGGUGAUUAGCACAGACAUGGAAAUGAUCAGGCAUAAGUUCUGUAAAUAUAACAGAAAAAUAGGAUAUAAACAUACUGGUAUCCUAUGCAGAAACAACUUGUCUUCCUUUUCUUCAGUGUUUGAGUGGUCUACUAGUCUCGUUGACUCUCUGGCAAGUUUCCUGCAUUCAGCUUUCUUUUAUUUAAGAAGAAAAAACCGUAUUGUUCAUUUUUAUGUCUUUUUUUAGCUGGUUACACCAAAAAAAUCCCUCUUGACCAGCUUUUUUAUAGGUUUUCCUCCACCCCUUCAUUUAACUUGCCAGAGUUUAUGUUCCCUUCUGUUUUCUUCAUUUGGACUUGACUUCCAGGAUAUAUAUAUAUAUAUAUAUAUAUAUAAUUUGCUCUAAAACUUCUAGUAACACUUCAAUUUGCUCCUAAACCACAUCUUUCUAGACUGAUGUAAAUUGGUCUCUUUCUCCCAGCUCAUAUGGGUCAUUUCCCCAAACAGGCAAUUCAGACAGCCUUCCCCAAUGUCUCGUUCAUUUUAUUCUUUCAGAGGACUGUGAAGAGCAAUGAGCAAGAAAACAUGGAAAGAUGUACUAGAAGAAAGCAUGCAGAAAUGCGGAAAAGGCAAAGAAAGUGUAAAGGGAGAACACAAGAGAGAUAUUGCAAUAAUAUUGUCCUCUCAGGACCCAAAUCACUGCUUGCCUCUUUAGGCCUCAUGCCUAGAUCUUUAAUGUUCAUUACUCUCAGGUUGUUGGCUGAAUGAUGUUAGGAGACCUGACCCAUCUUCUUGCUUGGCCGGGUUAUGCCAUGAUACAGGUCUCAUUCACACACAGCCCCAACAUGUUUCCCAACAUGUGGUAGGCACUGAAGAAAACCUUCAGCUCAUCUAUAUUUCUGCUGUCACCCUGCACCUUUAAUAUGAAUUUGAGUCCAUAUUUAAUAUGUGUGAAGGUUCUGCUAAUGCAAUCCACCUACUCUGUAGGUUGGGUGGUAUCUGAAGAAGAGC